UUCAUCUGCAAUCCCUGGCCAGAUGUUACAAUAGGCUUCCUUAAAAACAAUGAUAUACAAUUUAAAUACUGG